GCUAUAUGAAAAAAUCUUACACACAAUACAUUCUACCGACCUUUUGGACUACCUGUCUGCGUGGUGCGGAUGUCGUAUUGAAAAACAACUUUGCAAAUAUAAGGAUGAACUUCAACGGACUGAUUGUCCGAUUGUGAUAGCUGGAGAGACGAGUGCUGGAAAGAGCUGUUUUCUUAACCUCAUUCUUGGAGAAGAUAUACUUCCGGUCAGCCUACUCUGUGCUACCGCCACUAUUUGCGUUGUCCACCCCAUUUCUCAAGAAGAGACACCGUAUUUCGUGGUUGAUGGAGAAAUGCACAAGGGCAGUAAGGAAAAUCUAAAGAAAGAACUGAUGAUAAAAUUAACAUCUCGUUGUGAAACUGAUAGAAUUGAACAAGUUGAUAUUUACUGGCAGGUGCCGUUAAUCGGAUUAAACAAACACAUCGUGUUUGUUGACACACCUGGCGUUGGCGAGAGCAAAGAAAUGACUGACAAAGUGUUUAAAUACCUGCCCAUGCAGCUGCUUUCAUAUAUGUUAUUAAUUCUGCGAACGCUGGUGGUGUACAGGAAGAUAAGCUGGUGCAGGUUUUUAGAAAGGUUCUUGAAUACGACCAGUCAAGUGACUUAUUUAGUUUCGACCCCACAUGUACCCUGUUCGUUUGCAACAAGUGGGAUAUAGUUGCUGAUAGGGUCAGUAAAGACGGAUACAACGAAGGGAAUGUGUGGGAAGAUAUAACGUCAAAGCUACGUAAAUACCUACCAGAAGAUUCGCUAUAUAAAUCAUCAUAUAAGAUGAGCACAACAGAGGCAAUGCGAUAUAUAAACUCUGGACUUGGGGACAGCACAUUCUAUGCUGAGCUAAAGCAUGGGCUUAAACAAUUGGUCAUGCAGAGUCAAACAAGCAAAUCUAGAAUGCACACUAGUUGGAUUGAAAAUAUGAUUGGACAAAUACACACGUAUUUGUCGACCAGACGUCGACAUGCAAAUGCAACCACAAAAGAAAAAGCGCAGUUGCACGACCAAAUUUACACAAAACUAGAGAAAAUAAAAAUUAACAAAAAAAGAUGAAAGCUAAGUUACUAACGAAAUGUAAAGAACACAGUGUUGAUAUGGGAAAUGCUAUAGGCGAGCGUCUUAGAAAGGAAGACGUUAUUGCACGCAUCCAGACUGAUGUGGAGCAUCUUGUUCUAGAAAUUAGAGCGCCAGACGACGAUGCUUUUCAUUAUAUUGCAAAGCAGCGUGUAAUGGAAAUUGUUGUGAAAGAAAUCGAUUCCUGGGAAAAAGCUGGGCAAGUUUGGACAACAAUAAUUGAAUAUUUGAAACAGCAAAUAGAAGACGAAUUCACAAUUCUAGACGAGCAAUGUAUUGAAGCAGAGGCUGCUUUUGACAACACGAAGAUAAUGGUGCAUGAGUUGGGGUAUCCUGCAACCAGGAAAAUGCCAUCUUUGGGUGCAUUUUUUAAGGAUAAAUGGGUAAAUAUAGUGUAUCCAUGGUUAUCGAAAUGGGAAUUCAAACUAGGGGAAUUUGAAAUUUCAAUGCGUUCGGUCGCUGUGGGAUAUCAACAUAUGUCUAGAUUAAUCAACCGAGAAAAGUAUAUGCGAAAACUAGUGAAAAAAGUAAUGAAGGAGUGCUUCAGUGAAGAAGCUAUUCGCCAUCAUGUAACAACAACCUAUUUUGUGCCCAUAGAAAACUACAUACAAAAGCAAUGCGACCGAAGAAUUACAGGUAGGAUAAAGGCGUGCAAACGGCUACUGAUUUCGGUAGCACGCGAUGACCGUAUUGCAGAUGAAAUUUUAAAUGAAUGCCAAAAGAUGGACAGGUCUUUACGACCGAUAAAUGAUGAGCUAUGCAAAAUUCAGGACAUUGCAAAGUGUAACGGUGUGUACAUUAGUGAGGCGUUAUAAUAACAUCUCGUUGGUUCAAUUCAACGCCACCAUUUAAACGGACAAGUACGCACAUUAAAUAUGUAGAACCACUAUAAUUAAAUAUGCUGUUUUGUAUUAAGUAUGCAUGCUAUGUUCAAGAAGAUUGUGUUAAGUAUUGCUUUAUAAUUAUGAAACGCUAGUCUGCUUUAUUUCAUGUUGUUGUUCACUAUGUUUUUUGUAAACAUAAACACAUUUGGUGAUAAAAUACUGCUAUGUAUGAUAUGCUGUCUAUAUUUUUUGAUGUAAGGAAGCAUCAGUAAUUUUAUCUGUGAAUUUACGGUGUAACGCAGAGCAUAAAAGUACAGAGUGCUUAUCAAUAGCAUUAUUUCUAUGUUAUUGAAUUAUUAAGAGUGAAAUUUUGAAAAAUACCCUUGUUAUUUUAAGAAACGUUUUCAAAUUUGUAGUAUUUACAUUAAAACAUGUAAAUGGAAGAUUUCGAUUGGAAGCGUAUAGUAUCACUAAUUUUGUGUGAAUUAUAUUGCAAUGAAAUGUUUUCGCUAAGAUGUUUGAAUAUAAUUAAAUGAAUAUGUAUGAGUUUAGAACAAGAAACUGUUUAAGUGAUCCAUUUAGUAAAUGUUUCUUUUAAACAAAAAAAUAUAAUGUUAAUAUGUAUUGACACUUUUACAGCACUUAAGACGAUGAUGUGUCCAUAUAACAAAAUGUCAAGUAAUAUUGAUAAAACGUAUAUAAUAAUUCGUUACAAAUAAUAUUUUGAAUUAAUGCAAGUAGCUUGCACAAUCGAGUCACACUUUAUGAUUGAGAAUGCAAUUAAUAAUGCUUGUGAUACAUACAAUUCAAUCUGAGUGAAAAUUACUAACACGUAUCUAUUUUGUUCUGCUGUUAAAAGUAAAAUAAGUCGCAUAAUUGUUUCAUUCAACAAAAUAAUGUUACCAGGACAUUUACUUUUUAAAAAGGUUAAUACAUUUAUAAGAUCUCCAUUUUAACAUAUAUAUUUUAGACAUUUAUGACGUUAUUUUACAUAUGUAGCUGCUGUCUCACAGCUGUUUAUGUCAUUCGUUCAUCAUCAUUAUGCAUCAAGAAAGAAAUACAGACAUUAAGCUUUCAUACGACUAACAAAUGCUCAAAACGUCGAGCAUGGAUUUUAGGCUUCAAUCUCAAAAGUUAAUUUGUGAUUAACUUAUCAUUACAUGUUCUUGAUCAUAACAAGUGUUAAUAAAGCUUUAUGGUGAACGAUGAGAAAACAUCCACUAAUGUAUAUUCAUCUUAUUGUAAAAAUAAUUCCCCACAGUUGAAAGCAUACGAAAAUAUGUUCUUUAUAAUGUUCAAUAGUUCGUCACUUUGCAUAUAUAAACAGGAAUAAUAUGGAUUGUGAUUUUAUAAAUUUAUUAACUCUAUUCCAAUAUAAACUGACUCUUUAUUUACAUUAAGUAGCAACCGAUUUUCUGACCAUAACGAUCUUUCUUGGGAUGUAAAUAGUUAGAUUAUACCUGUACACAUGUUAAUUUCAUGAAAUGUUAAUAUUUGGAGAUCACAUUAAUUAAUCAUGUCUUUGUUCCAUUUAAAACAUUACUUCAAACAUGCGCGUUUUCAAUAAACACUAAAGAGUACGACAUAUGAUGCUUACUUUUUCCGGUAGUGAAUAUCAUCAGUGUAGAAGAUGUUGAGAUCGUUCCAUGAUUGAGAAUCGAAUCGUGGCCCUUCUGAAAGUCACGAUGAGAACAUUUUCAAUACCCAACCGCGAACUUACUUAAGUUGUUUAUAUUUAUGUUAUAUGAACAACAAUCCGUAAUUGACUUCUUAAGGCAUGUCGUUUUGCAUUAUAUUGAUAUAUGUUGUUGUUAUGUUGUGACCCAAUAUGUUAUGUUUUAAUACCAAAUAUCAAUUUAUUAUAAAUAACUAUCUUUUAUUUGCAAACCUUUCGUCAAAUACUAAUUGUGUCGUGUUAUUCAAAACUUUGCUUAUCUUCUCUAACCUCUCAAACAUUUUGAAAAUAAAGUUUCUGUUCUUAAUUUCCAGAUAUAGAACAUGUUAAUUAUUUAUAGUUUCCCAAUAUAGAUUUGUUUUUACAGUAUGUUGACUUGUGUGAAAUAAAAGCGUCUCGUACGACGUGUGCAUUAAACAACAGCGUACUUGUUUAAUAAAGGAAUAACAAUCUGUCACGCAUAUUUUUAUUUUAAUGAUCGUUUAGAAAACUGCUGAUAUUCGCUUCUAAAUACCAGAGGGGGUAAUCACGUGAUGGACUAAAGGAAGGCACGAUGGCGAAUGGCGACGUCCAUGCCGAGACAGGUAUAUUUCGCCGUUCUAUACCCAAAAUUCUAUUUUUUAUUUUUAAAAAGUAAUAAAGGUUAAAAUACGGCGAAAGAACCUGUUUCGGCAAGGAAUUCGCCAUUUUAUUGUCACAUAAUUACACCCUCUGAAUACAAUAUUCACGUUUAAUUUAUUCGAAAUUUAAGUCAGCACAGAUUAAAUACAUGAAUUAUCUUGAACAUUUUCAAAAAUAACGUUUCUGUUCUUAAUUUCCAGAUAAAA